AUUGAACGCUGGCGGCAGGCCUAACACAUGCAAGUCGAGCGGAGCGGCGGACGGGUGGUUAAUGCCUAGGAAUCUGCCUGGUAGUGGGGUAUAACUUCCGGAAACGGGCGCUAAUACCGCAUACUAUCAGAUGACCCUAGGUCGGAUUAGCUAGUUGGCUGGGUAAAGGCCUACCAAGGCGACGAUCCGUAACUGGUCUGAGAGGAUGAUCAGUCACACUGGAACGGAGACACGGCCCAGACUCCUACGGGAGGCAGCAGUGGGGAAUAUUGGACAAUGGGCGAAAGCCUGAUCCAGCCAUGCCGCGUGUGUGAAGAAGGUCUUCGGAUUGUAAAGCACUUUAAGUUGGGAGGCGGUACCAACAGAGUAAGCGCCGGCUAACUUCGUGCCAGCAGCCGCGGUAAUAC
rnacentral:rRNA from 1 species